UUGUUUUCUUAAAAUGUCCUGUACCAAGUCAGGAAAAUGGCCAUUGUUAUAUUAUAGUUUGUGUUGUUACAUUUUAAUGCUGUGUUUCUGUUGUGUCGUAGUUUUCCUCUUAUAUUUGAUAUGCGUUUCCUUCAGUUUUAGAUUGUAACCAGGAUUUUUUUCUUCUCUCAAUCGAUUUAUAAAUUUCGAACACUGGUAUACUGCUGUUGCCUUUAUGUAAAACCCAUUGUACUACUCAGAUAACAAACCUAAGUAAGUGGUGCCACAAUUAGAAAUUUAUCAAUGUUCAAAUCUCAAAACUCGAUUGC
rnacentral:lncRNA from 1 species